GAUUUUGUAUAUCUGAAAUCCUAGUUUGUUCAGGUGAACCUUUUUUCUCGUAAAAACCACAUAAAGCAGAUACCAAAUAUAUGAUAUGAAUUUAUUCAAAUUUCAGAUUUCUAAAAAUAUUCUUGAGAGCACUAUGUAACUACAAGUCCCUGUGAAUAAAUUCCUAGUGUAAAAUAAAUGUCCAGUUCCUUGAGGAUUGGAAGAUGCAGCAGUGAUCUUGGGUAGAUGUGGAGCUAUGAUAUUUUUGAGUAACAUGGCUUUGAGAGAACAAAAAGAAUGAGAGAAAAGCAGAUUUCAUGAAGCUGCUCAGCAGUUUGGGACAAAUCCUGCAGACACAAGACAUUUAAAGAUGCUUUUGGGUUAUGCUGUGUGGAGCCAUGGUUGAGUUCAAUUAGAUUAAGUACUUGGAAUCAUCCAAGCCAUUGUGAGGCACCUGACAAGUGUGUGUGGUCUGUGUGCCUCCAGGAAACAUUUGGAAAGUACAGGAAGAUCAAUCUGGGCACUUUUUUGCUAAUGGGAUUCAUUCAUUCAGCAGUGUCAUCUGUGUUUCAGAAGAGAAAGAGACUGCUCUGAAGAAGGUAAUCAAAUGAAGAAACAACCGAGUCAAACUCAAGAUAUCCUUGCAUCUUUUUGCCCUUUGUUACUCCGAAGAGGAAAUUACAAAUUUAAAGGGAUAGAGGUUUGGGACUUGGACAAAACAAGAAAGGUCACAAUUCGAGCAUCAUUAUUUCACUCCUUUGAGAAUCUAC